UACGUAGGAUCCAAGCGUUGUCCGAAUUUACUGGGUGUAAAGGGUGCGCAGGCGGACUGGUAAGUCAGAGGUGAAAUCUCGUCGCAUAACGACGAAACUGCCUUUGAUACUAUCAGUCUUGAGUCCGGUAGAGAUCUGUGGAAUUCCGAGUGUAGCAGUGAAAUGUGUAGAUAUUCGGAAGAACACCAGUGGCGAAGGCGGCAGAUUGGGCCGGUACUGACGCUCAGGGACGAAAGCGUGGGGAUCAAACAGG
rnacentral:rRNA from 1 species